GCGGGCGUGGCGGAACCGGGAGACGCGCCAGGUUUAGGUCCUGGUGGCCGCAAGGCCGUGGGGGUUCGAGUCCCUCCGCCCGCACCC
rnacentral:tRNA from 1 species